rnacentral:piRNA from 1 species
UCACUCAUCAGUCAUUAGUAU